rnacentral:rRNA from 1 species
UUAGAUACCCUAUUAUACUGAUAAAAACCCAAAAUAUUAGUAGAAGUAUGGUCUUUAAACUUGAAGAAUUUGGCGGUGGUCAAUCUUAUUAGAGGAACCUGUUUUUGAAUCGAUACACCACGUGAAAUCUUACUUGUUUUAAUAAGUCUAUAUACCGUCAUUAACAGAUGAUUUUUAAAGAAGUUAAAUCAUUAAAGAUUAUAAAAUAAUAAAUUAAAUUAGAUCAAGGUGUAGCUUAUAAACAAGUUAAAAUGGGUUACAAUAAAAUAUAUUUAUUAUGAAUUAGGUAGUGUAAAAGUGCUAUGAAGGAGGAUUUAAUUGUAAUAUAAGUUUAAUAAGCUUGAAAGAUAUUAGCUCUAGACCAUGUACAUAUCGCCCGUCGCUA